CUCAUAAUCCAACAGGGUGGACACCUGUUUGUUACAUGAGUUCACACCAACCACACACACACUGCGUCAGUACCACACACACACACACACACACCGCGUCAGUGACACACGCACACACACAGCGUCAGUAACACACACACACCGCGUCAGUAACACACACACACACACCAACCACACACACACUGCGUCAGUACCACACGGUUGGACAUGUGUGUGUGUGUGAGUUUGGACGUGUGUGUGUGUGAGGUUGGACGUGUGUGUGUGUGAGUUUGGACGUGUGUGUGUGUGAGGUUGGACACGUGUGUGUGUGUGAGGUUGGACAUGUGUGUGAGGUUGGGCAUGUGUGUGUGUGAGUGUGAGGUUGGACAUGUGUGUGUGUGUGAGGUUGGACAUGUGUGUGAGUGUGAGGUUGGACAUGUGUGUGAGGUUGGACGUGUGUGUGUGUGUGUGUG
ensembl:lncRNA